AAAAAAAAAAAAAAAGGGGUAAAAAGUGCAACUGCAUUGGCCGGGAAUCGAACCCGGGCCUCCCGCGUGGCAGGCGAGAAUUCUACCACUGAACCACCAAUGCUGGUACAGAUACCGUUCUCGGGAUACCUCAGUUAAACGCCGCGCGGCAGGGCUCUGCCUGCGCCGCCGCCAGCUUUCAAAUGGGGCGGGCCCGCCCCGCCGCGGCCGUUUGAAACCUGGCGGCGGCCGUUGAAGGCAACGGCUGGGGACGUGGUUUUUAUCAACUUUUUUUUUUUUUUUCUUGUACACUUCGUUUAACAGCGUACGGAGCCACUGUAUGCACACACAGUGUUUUAGCUAAGGGCGGACAAAUCCCCUUUUUCUUAUUUGUUUGACUUUCCUGUUAUAAAUUCACUCAGAAGUCAAACAGAUCCCAGUAGUUGGUAGGGACUGAGCUCACAUAAUGCUGUGCAGCUUCCUCGUUUCAGUUAUUUUCUACUUAUUUACUCUUAAAGCUGAGUGAAUUCCUCCCCAGAGAUAUGGUGGCAUUAAACAAAUUACAGUAACACAAAGAUACCUCAGCCAUCUUACGAGCUCCAGUUAGCACGGCUCUGAGCGCAGGGGACCCUCACCAACAGCCUCCCAGGUAAUUUUUCACUCCUUUCUCUUUAAUACCUUUCUCUUCCCGAGACAAGGUGUUAAAGCACGUGAACUUCCCCUGGCUGCAGGUGACGAGAAGGAAGGAGAAAGGCCCCAUGGCCAUAAAGCAAGUUUGUUCUCUUGAGGAGAAAGGAUUUCACACAGCGAGGAACCCAGUGCUACCAACACGAGCAGGGCCUGCUGCAAUUCAGUUUCAGAGGCAAGAGCAACCUGCAAAGAGGUGUUACACUACAGAAACCGCUGAGAACAGAAAUAGUUUCUAAAACUCUGAAGGAGUGUCAUUGAUUACCAGUAGCUGAUAACUCAAAAAUAUGUAAAGAUGAUUCAGUUAUCCUGUUCACAAGUUCUAGAAUUCUCUCUCAUUCUGAAGUAACUUUUUUGUAAGUGUAGUGUUCUGUCAGAGCAACCAUCCACUCACAGCCCCCAGGUGAAAUAUGCUUGCUGCACUAACAGUGGAGUCAGCGGGGGCAAGCAAGUCUCAGUUUCUCAGCUAGCUGGUAUAGACGAAGGAACAGUAAAGCUGGCAUCUUGCACAAAGGGGAAGGACAGUCCUGGAAGGACCAGCUGGAAAAAACAGCGUAAAAGAUGCACUUUCUUUCCAUGUGAACAUCAAAGGACUCAGGGAUUAUGGUCCAAGCCACCAUCACACACUCCUAUAAAACCCAAACACACCAGAAAGCGUUUGGACAUCACGUACCACAGACCUGGCAAAAGGGGAUGCCCAUGUUAUGACAGAGACAAGUAGAGAAAACUCAAAGGCCAGUGAGUAACUUGCUAUGGCCAGGAGAUAAUGCAAGAUUUUUAAGUUUACUAACAAGGCACGUAAUAAAUGGACAAUUUCCUUAAGCAGAAUUGUGCAGUGGUCUAUGUAUUUAAUUGGAGGAUCCAAAAAGAAAGUUUAUGAUACAAAAAAGACGUUAUAUAUACAUAUACACACACAGAAUAUAUCUAUAUGCUUAUAUAGAUAAAUCAGUGAACUUGAAUAGUGUCUUUAUCAAGAGCAUCUUAAGGCAUUCAAACAUCUUACUGUGACAUUGAUCCAACUCAGUAUUUUUUGCUUUGGCUGAGUUAAAGCAAACUGAUUAAAAGGUCUGAUCUGAAACGCCAAAGACCAAUGCCUAAAGGUAUCUCGGGUGACAGCAGCAGCAUCUAAGAACCCACCCACCGCACUAUUAGCUAAAUAAUAUUAAAAGGAGUCUAAAUAAAUCACUCCCACUCACAGCUUGGAGCUUUGCAACAGCAGAAGAUGUCAGUCUCAAAGUGACUUUCUAGCCAUAUAUUCUAUAGAUUCUAUUACAAAUCGAGGAUAGAAAAGAUACAGCAAGAGGGCCUGCCCUAGGAUAGAAUGCCACUGAAUAUCAAAUAGUAUUUACAGUACAGUAACAUGAUUAUAGAACAUUUUAUAAAUACAAUUUAUAUGUAUACAAGGACACAUAGGAGAGAUUCAUUUUCAUGCUUUACAAAGUAAUCCGAACUAAAACUUACUGCAGAAUUCCACAGCUACUGGUUAGGAGCCUCUCUUCUCAACUGCCAGUACAAAGCAAUCCCCAUGAUGAAUCACAAGAGAAAUACCCAUGUUUUAAGCAGCAGCUCUGAAGAAUCUCAACAGACUCGAGAGUGUGAAACACGAAGUUUCAAAACAUGGGUAAGGCAUAGUGUGUUGGCGAGUUGUGCCAACAUUUAUAUAAGUAACUUCCUCUUCUCGGAGAAGAACUUGGACCGUAACAUGCUGCAUUUUUGCAAAGAAAUAUAUAAUGCUUUAGCAUAUAGAUGGCAAAAUUCAGACCCGCAAUAUUACAACUUCUAACACAAGGUAACAGGAAAUGCUAGAAGCAUCAGCCCAAGUCUAAAAAUGGGAAGGAGCUCUUCCUUUGUUUCACAAUGGUAGAAUAGUAUUUAAUAUUUCAGUACUUGCACAUGUCCAUGAAACACUCGAUAAUUCCUUUUCAAUAAAAGCAAUUGGCUUUGCUUAAACAGAA